CCCUAGGAAGGUCCUGCAGGCACUCGGUACAUAUCUGUGAAAUGGCUGUGACAGUGGCAGGGGCCCUCGUGCAGAGCAUUAUACAGACACAGGAGGGGGCAGUUCAGCCCUGGAGAAUCCGUGGAGAGAGGAAGCUGGUGCCCCUCCUGGAGCAGGAAGAUGCGGAUAAUCUGUUAUUAGUGGGGAAGGCAGCUGCAAAGACUGCAGGUGAAGGACAAUGCUUUUUUGUAAAAAAGCAGAAAUCUGCAUUCUUGAUCCGUCCGUCUGUCUGUCCAUCUACAUGAACACAGGCCCAGGUAGUGAUGAGCUUAUCUCUGGGUGGUGGGGAUAUGAGGGUUUUUGGAAAAUUCUUAAUGCUUUUCCUGCUUCCAAAGAUAGUUAUGAAAAUGCCAACAUGGCCGGGCAUGGUGGCUCACGCCUGUAAUCCCAGCACUUUGGGAGGCUGAGGCAGGCGGAUCACGAGGUCAGGAGAUUGAGACCAUCCUGGCCAACAUGGUGAAACCCCGUCUCUACUAAAAUACAAAAAAUUAGCCGGGUGUGGUGGCACACGCCUGUAAUCCCAGCUACUCGGAAGGCUGAGGCAGGAGAAUCGGUUGAAUCCGGGAGGGGGAGGUUGCGGUGAGCCGAGAUUACACUACGGCACUCCAGUCUGGGCAACAAAGCAAGACUCCGUCUCAAAAAAAAAAAAAAAAACCCUAACAUUACUGAACCACAAAAGAAAAAGUAGUGGCGGGUCAGUUUUAACCUUGCUUUAUGUUUUUCAUAUUUGAUUUUUAAAUCUUUCUACCAUAUCCACAUAUUACUUUUGUAAUAAGAAAAAAAAAGAAAGGAAACUGAAUAAAAAGAUCUCCCCCCUAA